rnacentral:misc_RNA from 1 species
GUGAAUCAUCGAAUUUUUGGACGCAAAUUGCACUCUCUUCGGAGAGUAUGCCUGUUUGAGGGUCAGCCUAUAAAAAAUCGACAUCGUUGCUGUUUUGUGGUGGCGUUCGUCGGAAAUUGGGUUAUCUUAAAUCUUUUGUUUUUAAGCGACAAAAUAUUUUUUUUUUGGCUUUAUGAAUGUUCAUAAGUUCUUUUUUUUUACAUGCUUUAGGUAUCGUUUUUUAUUUGUUGCGA